GAUGAACGCUAGCGGCAGGCUUAACACAUGCAAGUCGAGGGGUAGAGGAAGCUUGCUUCCUUGAGACCGGCGCACGGGUGCGUAACGCGUAUACAAUCUACCUUUUACAGAGGGAUAGCCCCAGAGAAAUUUGGAUUAAUACCUCAUAGUAUUUUCGAAUCGCAUGGUUUGAUUAUUAAAGUUCCAACGGUAAAAGAUGAGUAUGCGUCCCAUUAGCUAGAUGGUAAGGUAACGGCUUACCAUGGCAAUGAUGGGUAGGGGUCCUGAGAGGGAGAUCCCCCACACUGGUACUGAGACACGGACCAGACUCCUACGGGAGGCAGCAGUGAGGAAUAUUGGACAAUGGGCGCAAGCCUGAUCCAGCCAUGCCGCGUGCAGGAAGACGGUCCUAUGGAUUGUAAACUGCUUUUAUACAGGAAGAAACACUCCCUCGUGAGGGAACUUGACGGUACUGUAUGAAUAAGCAUCGGCUAACUCCGUGCCAGCAGCCGCGG
rnacentral:rRNA from 1 species